UCUAAUCUAACAGUCGUAGGCCACCACAGCACGUGGGACAGCAGGGCUUCUGAAAAAAGGCUUCCCCAUUGUGUGCAGUGGGAAUUUCUUGCCAAGGUCUGAAGAAGAUCGGUAAAGUUUUUCAAGGCAAAGCCUUGAUUUAAACCUUUUGAAAAAGGAUUAUAAAGCAAGUCUGUCUUUCAGGGGUUUUAAUACAAAGCUUAAAGGAGUACCUACAAGGAGGUUAUGAAGGAAGUUAGUUAAGCAUUUCACAGUGAUACAUGGGAGGAGGGACGUGAAACGAAAGUCAAAACGAGAUCUAGACUUGUUAUAAAAUGAGCUUUCACCGUGAUGAUAGGCAAGCAUUCAAACAGGUUGCCCAGGGAAGCUUUACAAUCUCCAACUUUGGCGGUUUUCAAAGCCUGCUUGGAUAAAGCCCUGAGCAGCCCUGUCAGAUCCCACAGGUGACCCUGCUCAGGAGGCUGGACCGGAUGACCUCCUCAAGUUCCUUCCAGCCCAAAUUACUGGUACAGAGAGAUAAUUGAACAAAAGACUUCAAAAUCAAGGAUAAGAUUCACUCCAUAUAACAGAGCACGAGAGGAUGAAUGAGCAUAAAGGGCUCAAAUUGCUGGAAAAAAAAAAGUGGGGGAGAAAAAAAAAAGAAGUGAAUC